rnacentral:rRNA from 1 species
GACGAACGCUGGCGGCGUGCUUAACACAUGCAAGUCGAACGAGAAAGCCCUUCGGGGUAAGUACAGUGGCGAACGGGUGAGUAACACGUGGGCAACCUGCCCCAGAGAGCGGGACAACCCGGGGAAACCCGGGCUAAUACCGCAUGAUGCGUCUCCACUUAAGUGGAGCCGCCAAAUGGUAGCUUCGGCCUCCGCUCUGGGAUGGGCCCGCGCCGGAUUAGCUAGUUGGUUGGGGUAAUGGCCCACCAAGGCGACGAUCCGUAGCUGGUCUGAGAGGACGAUCAGCCCCACUGGGACUGAGACACGGCCCAGACUCCUACGGGGGGCAGCAGUGGGGAAUCUUGCGCAAUGGGCGAAAGCCUGACGCAGCAACGCCGCGUGGGGGAAGAAGGCCUUCGGGUUGUAAACCUCUUUCAGUAGGGACGAAGCUUCCGGGGUUAAUAGCCUACGGGGUGACGGUACCUACAGAAGAAGCCCCGGCUAACUACGUGCCAGCCGCCGCCGUAA